UGCCAGCAGCCGCGGUAAUACGGAGGGUGCUAGCGUUGGUCGGAAUUAUUGGGCGUAAAGAGCGCGUAGGCGGCCAAUCAAGUUAGAAGUGAAAACCCGGGGCUUAACCCCGGAACUGCUUUUAAAACUGGUUGGCUAGAAUUAGGUAGAGGAUAGUGGAAUUCCCAAUGUAGAGGUGAAAUUUGUAGAUAUUGGGAGGAACACCAGAAGCGAAGGCGACUAUCUGGGCCUUAAUUGACGCUGAGGCGCGAAAGUGUGGGUAGCAAACAGGAUUAGAUA
rnacentral:rRNA from 1 species